UCCACACUUACCCGCGUCCUUAUAACCGCCCCUCGGCGUCCGCGCGACGGUUUCUACCGCCCGCCGCCACCAGGGUUUUCUUCCCCCCUCGCCUUCUUCCUCCUCCUCCCCACGCAAUCCACGGAGGAACCGAGAGCGCGUAGGAGCGCAGCCAUGGCGUGACCGUGUCCAAGAUUCUUCCCCGUCACCGGCUCCGUGUCCAGGAGCUCCGCCGUCCACGUCUUCCUCGCCUACGUCCAGGAGGCCGCUCCCGAACGACUACAGCCACCACUCCUUCCUCUUCGGCCGCCGCCACGUCGUCGUCAAAGUCCUCCGCCUCCGUCCGCUACUCGACCGACGGAUCACACCUCCGUGGUCCUGGUGAGCUCCUCUUCCUCCCCAACUCUUUCCCCUCUCGAUAGCGUUCUCUGACAUCGAGUUCGUUCGACGAUCUCAAGAAGCCGCCGCCGCGCGGCAUGGUCACCGGCGUCGCUCCGGUGACCCUCUGCACGCCCCCUUUGUGCCGCGCGCACCGCAUGUCGUAGUAGAACCUUCCGCCGCCUUUUGUUUCGUCCUUAGCGAGCUCCUACGCCACGGACCUCGCCGCCGGCGUCGAAUCCGUCGGUCCCCGGCCACACCGCGUGCACCGCUAGAUGCGCGGCUUCGUGCUCUUCUGUUCGCACACAGCGCCGCGCCCUUUUGGUUGUCGGAACCCACUCCAGUGAGGUCUCCGCCGCUAUGGAAGGUCACCGCCGGCAGAUGGAUCAUGAGCUCGAUACCCAUCCGAACCAGAGGGGAAUAAGAGCCUCCUUUUAUUUUGCAUCCUCUCCGAAUCUUGCUCCUAUCGUAACUCGAGCUUCUUGCCUGCAAUCGAAUUUAUUAUUUCGCUGAAGCCUUUAUUCAAUUGCAUUUUCAGGCUGCUGAACAUGAUGGAUGAUGAUUUAUUCAAGUGAGUCUUAGUCGGUGUUUGUUUCGAGGGACUUUUUGGUGUAGGGAGUAGAAAAAGUCCCUAGCAAACCAAACAGGAUGAGACUUUUUUGGGACUUUUUGCUAAAAAUCCUUAGAAGCACCUUUUUGAGAGUCUUUUUCAAAAAGUCUUAGGGACUAGAAAAAGUCCUAGAACUAGAGAAGCCUUUAAUCAGGACUCACUACUGUUGUAUAUUUUAAUAGGUUGGACACUGAGCUUUUGGGGGUUUAUUCCGAAGAUGCAACCAAUGAUGACAAGCCCCUGGAGGAUGAACCUCAGAAUGAGCGGACAUGUAAAAAUUCGUUUAUAGUUUAAUGAGUUCUUUGGUGCUUCUUAUUAUUGCUUAAUUCUUUCCCGACCUUUGUUGAUUGCUUGUUUAUUGCUGAAAAUGCAACUUGGGCACCUGAGAACUUAUAUUUUGUUGUUUCCCAUGGUGCAUCAAAAUAUUUUCUACAUGUCUUUGAUUUCUGUUCGAUAACGAUGCAGGUGAUGAUGAUUUCAAGCACCUGUCACAGAAUGCAGAAGAUCAUGUGCCAGCCUUUGACGAACUUG
rnacentral:lncRNA from 1 species